GGGUGCGAUCAUAUCAGCACUAAUUUAUCAGAUCCCAUUGGAACUCUGAAGUUAAGCAUGCUUGGGCUAGAAUGGUACUAAGACAAGCUUUGUCGUAGGACUUCCACAGAAACAGGCAAGAAGUGGGUGUAACCA
rnacentral:rRNA from 1 species